rnacentral:rRNA from 1 species
GACGAACGCUGGCGGCGUGCUUAACACAUGCAAGUCGAACGGACGAGUGAGAUAAGUUUACUUAACUCACAAGUUAGUGGCGGACGGGUGAGUAACACGUGGAUAAUCUACCUGCAACACCGGGAUAACGCUGUGAAAACGGUGCUAAUACCGGAUACGUUCCCUUGUGCGCAUGUAUGAGGGAAGAAAGCUCAGGCGGUUGCAGAUGAGUCCGCGGCUGAUUAGCUAGUUGGUGAGGUAAAGGCUCACCAAGGCGAUGAUCAGUAGCCGGCCUGAGAGGGUGAGCGGCCACACUGGGACUGAGACACGGCCCAGACUCCUACGGGAGGCAGCAGUGGGGAAUCUUCCGCAAUGGGCGCAAGCCUGACGGAGCAACGCCGCGUGGGUGAAGAAGGCCUUCGGGUUGUAAAGCCCUGUCUUAUGGGAAGAAGUCAGUGACGGUACCAUAGGAGGAAGCCACGGCUAACUACGUG